rnacentral:rRNA from 1 species
UACGUAGGUGGCAAGCGUUGCUCGGAAUUACUGGGCGUAAAGGGCGCGUAGGCGGCCUGUUAAGUCGAACGUGAAAUCCCUGGGCUCAACCCAGGAACUGCGUCCGAUACUGGCAGGCUUGAAUUCGGGAGAGGGAUGCGGAAUUCCAGGUGUAGCGGUGAAAUGCGUAGAUAUCUGGAGGAACACCGGUGGCGAAGGCGGCAUCCUGGACCGAUGUUGACGCUGAGGCGCGAAAAGCCAGGGGAGCAAACGGG